CUCUCUCUGGCCUAGUGGUUAGAGCGUCCGCCUUGGAUGCGGAAGGUCGUGGGUUUAUUUCACCGAUCGAGUCAUACCAAAGACU